AACAGGUCAGCAGAACGUUGGAUAAGUGAAAAUGUUGGAUAAUGAGAGAUUAAGGUAAAGCCUAUUACAUGUCAAAUUAUGUUAUUCUUUUACGACAAAUUAAGCACCAAAACAUCAUAUUAUACAACAAAUUUGACAGAAAAAGUAGUUCCAUGCGCAGUAAUGCUAUGUAGUAUUUACAGUAGAGUCUCACUUAUCCAACACUCGCUUAUCCAACGUUCUGGAUUAUCCAACGCAUUUUUGUAGUCAAUGCUUUCAAUAUAUCGUGAUAUUUUGGUGCUAAAUUCAUAAAUACAGUAAUUACUAUAUAGCAUUACUGUGUACUGAACUACUUUUUCUGACAAAUUUGUUGUCUAACAUGAUGUUUUGGUGCUUAAUUUGUAAAAUCAUAACUUAAUUUGAUGUUUAAUAGGGUUAUCCUUAAUUCCUCAUUAUCCAACAUAUUCGCUUAUCCAACGUUCUGCCGGCCCGUUUAUAUUGGAUAAGUGAGACUCUACUGUACUGUAUUUACAAAUUUACUACUAAAAUAUCACAAUGAAUUUAAAACACUGACUACAAAAACAUUGAUUAUGAAAAGGCAGACUGCGUUGGAUAAUCCAGAACAUUGUAUAAGCGAAUGUUGGAUAAGUGAGAUUCUUCUUUAAUAUGAAAUAAUUACUGGGAUAGAAUAAUGCAGAACAAUAUAAUCUCUAAAACCAGGACAGUAAAUAAACAGGGGAAUUCCACACAGGAAACAAUCAGGGCCAGCUAACACCUCCCAACAAAGUAUUCCCAUCAUCAAAGUCUGGAAAAUCCUCUGUUUUCUCAGGGCCACAGACAGUAGAAGCACAUAAAAUAUUGCAAACAACACCACUCUGAAAACAAGGGAAUUCCAGACAGGAAACAAUCAGGGCCAGCUAACACCUCCCAACAAAAAAAUUCACUCAGGGAGGAAACAGCCAGGCUUUAAAGCUGCAAGGCCAUUACAUCCUAAUCAUUUUUCCUAAUUGCAGCAUUCAUACUUGCCUCCAACAAACAAAAAAAACCCAAUCAGAAAUAUUGUAUAUUCACAACCUUUAGGAAAUAAUAUCCCCUGAUGGCGCAGCGUGUUAAAGCGCUGAGCUGCUGAACUUCUGGACCGAAAGGCCACAGGUUUGAAUUGGGGGAGCGGAGAGAGCCCCCACUGUUAGCCCCAGCUUCUGCCAACCCAGAAGUUUGAAAACAUGCAAAUGUGAGUGCAUCAAUAGGUACUGCUCCGGCGGGAAGGGAACGCCGCUCCAUGUAGUCAUCCCACAUGACCUUGGAGGAGUCUACGGACAACGCCGGCUCUUCGGCUUAGAAAUGGAGAUGAGUACCAACAUCCAGAGUAAGACACGACUGGACUUAAUGUCUGGGGAAAACCUUGACCCUUGAUCUUAACUACACCAAUUCCUCAAUACUUUAUUUCCCAUACCACCAGACUUCGCCACAGCAACGCGUGGCCGGGCACAGCUAGUAAUAUAUAUUAUGCCAUGGGUAUUAUUCAUUGUUUCCUAUUGAAGAUUUAUCUCCACACAUCUUAUGGAAGAUGUGUGUUUGCUCAAGUACAACCAUUUAUUGAUUAGCCAGUUGGCCUUAUCAAGAACAGACAGUAUAAACACAACAUACAACAUACAUCUAGUACACUUAAAAUAAAAUACAGAAAUACAGGUAUUUGCCUGCUUGGUGCCAAUGUAGCUUAGCUAUAGAUCUAAGCAUUUAAGUGUGUUUGCUCUUUAAAUUAAAAUACUCAGAUUAUUAAAACAUUUGAAAAUUUAUUUUAAAAUUCCUCUGUUUCAGGACUGGCCCUAUCAUUGAUUCCCUUGGAGUACCUAAAUUGUGCCGAAAAUAACUUUUAAAGGAAACAUCUGCCAGGACGUUCUGUAGCAGCAACUUGCUUCCAUGUCAGUAGAAUAUUGAAUUUAGUUCAGGUUUUAACCCAGGCUUUUAGAAAGCUAUCCAAAAAAGUGGGAGCUAUUUUGUGGAUAGUUUUCAGCACCUCGGGCAGCUCAUAUGACCUUUGUCAAACUUCCAUAGGAAUGGUGGCAACUGCCAUUUGAAAGUGAGCUGAUUUGUUUGC
ensembl:lncRNA